rnacentral:rRNA from 1 species
UACGUAGGGGGCAAGCGUUGUCCGGAUUUAUUGGGCGUAAAGAGCGUGUAGGCGGCCUGACAAGUCUGCUGUGAAAACUCGAGGCUCAACCUCGAGAUGUCGGCGGAAACUGUCUGGCUAGAGUCCGGAAGAGGCGAGUGGAAUUCCUGGUGUAGCGGUGAAAUGCGCAGAUAUCAGGAGGAACACCAAUUGCGAAGGCAGCUCGCUGGGACGUUACUGACGCUGAGACGCGAAAGCGUGGGGAGCAAACAGG